rnacentral:tRNA from 1 species
AGGAACCAUAGUGCUCUUGAAAACCGCUAGGCCGGGUGACCGGUCUCGUGGGUUCGAAUCCCACGCUCU